CAGCCAGAGUGUUUGUUAUCUGCGAGGAAUAAACUUUGACAAUUCAAGUGGAAACUGAACAAAAAGAAAAGUCAUUUUCCUGCUGUAAUAUUCUUAGGAUAUAAGAUCAAGCAUGGCUACUUUCCCUAAUUUGGCUGUUCUGAUUCUGGUACUUAAAGGCAAAAGCAUGAGCAAGAACAUUACAAAUCUUUCCAUCACUGAAAAUUUACAAUCAAAUCCUUACCUGACAUACAUGAGUACUGGCUUGAUGGAAUUCAUUUCAUCUAAUCUAAAAUUUCAGUAUCAUCUAGCUCACUUCAGUUGCCUUUAGUUGAUGGAAAAAAUGACAAAUCUCCAGUGAACGCCUCAGUGCUUAUGUUUGAAGUCUUCCUUCAGAAUGAGACGAAGUGCCACUCUGGAAGGCCUGGUUUUCCAUACUGAAUGUAGCAGUUUCU
rnacentral:lncRNA from 1 species